GAGGGGGUCAGGGUGUUCCUGGAACACACUUCUCUCCUCCCUCGUUCUGUCCUUCUUUCCCUCACUCCCAUCUUCACUGCAGCCUACUUUAAUAGGAGACUGCUGUUUCAUUUUUUCCUGCACUUUUCUGAUCAAAGCCAAUAUAAGAAACCAUUACCAGGAAGAGACAGGAGUGUCUCUCUCUCUCUCUCUCUCUGUAGGACACACUGUAGCAGUCUAGGACACCAUGGGCAGUGAACAGAGACCAACAAUAACUACCCACAAUAACUACCUUAUUGUCAUUUUUGGAAAAAUAUGUGAAUGUCACCGAUCCAGAAAAUAUGCUAAGCGCAAUGACAAACAGGUGUAGCUAAAGAGCAUCAGGUUGCUACACAUCAAUGUCACCAACUUGGCCUGCUGAAGGCUCUAUGGCUCAAAUGCCCCUGCUGCAUGUUCUUCAGUCUGUUUAUCAAGUCUGCCAGUCAAAUGUACUCUGAUCUCUUUACUUAAGAAACCAGGACAGAUAAGUGGUUGUUGGAGCAAUAGUGGGCCUUUAACUAGCAACGGUGCGUAGAGAGACGAAUGCAUGCAAUUAUAGAUAUCUUCCCUGGCUUGGUCUGCCUCAGAGUCACACUCACAUUAACCAUCCUCAAACACUUUGUCUGCAUUUCCAUGUGGCUCUUUCCUGCAAGUAGAUUUUUACAAAUGGUUUGUUUCAAUAUGUAACAUGCAUUUUCUUAAACUAAUCUGUAAGUGUUUUGGUUUAUGGCAACCAUUACUGAGGAGGCUGUUUCAGAUUACAUGAUGUAGGUAGUCUCAAGCAACAUUACGCUCUGCGCUGCUCUGACAUAGAUUCUGAAUGUAAGUUGUAGGUGAUGUAAAAGUUCUGGACAUCCUCCCUCUUAAAUGGAUACCACUAGAGAUUGGAUGUCACAUUGCAAGACACCAUAAUAUGACACAUUAGGAAAUAUGCAAAUGAGACUUUACACCCUUAUACCUCAAAUGGAACCAUAUAAACCCCAAAAUAGUGUUGUUUGACGACAUAGGAGUUGAAUUAACUCUUGCGAUUGUAUUGAGCGUAAACGUUACUCUAAAUAAUUAACUCUAGAAUACUGAACAACACUAUUUUGAAUUAAUACUGUACAGAGUGAAACCCAAUGAAGCAGAGUUAAAUAUCAACCCUAAAUUGAGCUUACACAACUCUGAAAAAAUAACUCUAUUGCCAGAGUACGUUUUACAUAAUUUUCUGGUCAAAUCCCAAAACCCUGAGUCUACUUAGGAAAUAGAGGCGUUGUUGAACUCUGCAGAAGACACGGUCUACUUGGACCUUCCAGUUCAGUACAUUGUCCUAGUGUGCACCCAGCUACUUGUACGAACUAAGCUGUGCUGUGUUAGCAUUCUGAACAACCACAGGCACGUGGUUGCCAACAGAUUUGGGGUCAAACACCAUCUCCUCUGUUUUCUUUACAUUGAGGAUAAGAUGGUGCUCAUCACACCACUUGACAAACCUUUGAAUUUCUGACCUGUACACGGUAGUAUCAGCAUCUUUAUACAUCACACCAAGGACGGCCGUAUCCUCAGAAAACUUGACAAUAUAGUCAUUAGGAUUACUGCUGGUGUAUUCAUGUGUGUACAUGAUGAAUAAGAUGGGUGCACUCCCACAACCCUGCGGGCCCCUGUGCUAAUGUCUCUAGCCUCAGAGAGGGUUCUGUUAACACUAACCUGCUGAGUAUUGCUCGUCAGGAAUGAGCGCUACCACCUUAUGAUACAGGAGUUAACACUCGUCUGCUUUAAAACUGACUGAGUAGGACAUGUGGCUGUGUUGUGUUAAACGCUGAAAAUAAAUAACAGGCCUCGGGUUUUCCAGAUGCUUAACAAUGAGAUGCACUAUGGUGUUGAUUGCAUCAUCUUGUCUCACAACUUUUCUUAUAGGCAAAUUACUAAGGAUCUAACACAGGGUUCACAUCUGAAUGGAGCUCGCACACCAUGAUCUUUUUAUUCUUACAGGUGUGCUUGAAGACUCAAAUGACAACUACAGGGUUGAUUUCCAACCUAGGAACACAAUAAUCAAUAACAAUGGAGCCAAUCACAUUAUCACACUCAACAGAGAAGUCAUGUACAUCAAAUCUUGUAUAAAAAAAAACUUUUAAUUCCUUGGCUUUGGUCAGGUCAUCUGGUGUGUGCAAGGAUUUAUUUUGCAGGGUUCAUGUUGCUGAUUGUUCGCAUCGACUCCCACCAUUUUUUGGAGUUCUUUGUAAGGAACUAUUUGUUCCCACUGCUUCCGUGUGUUGUUUCCUUGUCUCUCUGAGCAUUUGGUUGAGCUCCUUUUGCACCCAUUUCAGUUGUUGUUUGUCCUUGUUUUUGAAUGGUUGCCUCUUGCUUCUUGCCUCUUGCAAUUGAUCCAUGUCCUUGACCUCAUUUGUGAUGUAGUGUGUGUUGUUUGGGUAUGACUUUUUGUCUUCUGGCAUAUCAGAGUCAACACAGAAAUGUAUGUAGUUUGUGACAACCUGUGCUGACUUGUGCAUGUCUAACUCGUGAAAAAUGUCCCAAUCUGGACACAGAACAUCCCUUAAGUGAUUCUAUACUGUCCUGCUUCCAGACAUUCACAGAUUUCACAAGGGGUUUACUGCUCCUGAGCUGUAGGUAGGUGGGAAUGAGCUGGACAGUGUUGUGAUCAAGCUAGACAGGGAUGGUUUGGCUCUAGCUGUGUAAAGGAGAUUGAGGAUGUACUGAGAGCUCCAACUGAACAGAGAACCUAGCCGACAAGAAAAGGACGGCUAUGGAAGGAAAAAUACAUUUUCUAUUCAUAGAAAGGUGGUAAUUAAAAAAGGCCUGACUGAGACUGAAAAGUGAGUUGGUUAGGACGAAAACAAGUCAGCAAGGGUGAUGUUCUCCCUCUGUGGAAAGGGUUCUACAUGGAUCCUAAAAGGGUUCUACCUGGAACCAAAAAGGGUUCUUCAAAGCGUUCUCCUAUCUGGACAGCCGAAUAACCUUUUUAGGUUCUACAGUACAUAGUGUAUGUUCACAUAAAUUGCAGCCAAGACUGGAAUUUUCACUUAAUUUCCGUGGCCAUACUUCUUUUCAUAGAUAGAUUGCAUGUCUGCUCAUUUAAUUCUCAAGCCACCAACAUAAUAUUUGAUAGACAUCGUUUACCAACUGGGGUCAUUUUGACCCCAAGAAGAAACUAUUGGAAAAAGCAUCAAUCACAGCAAAAUAUCAACUUAUGUUUUAUCAAAACAUCAUAAAACAUUUGCUACAUGUUAUCUGAAGUAAAAGAUGACCAGAAUAGACUGUUAUUUUAGCAAAAUUACUGUUAAUCAGCAUAUUCUGUCAAACAUAUGUAUGCAUUUUUUUUAAAUAAAAUUUGCAGCUUUUUCCAAAGUACAAUCCACAUUAGCACUAAAAAAGCAAAUUUACCGUAAUUUAAUUAUAGUUACAUUUAGUUUUCAGAAUUUUUAAGUAAAUAUCAAUUGUGUCAUAUUCAUGUAGUCAAAAUUAUCAUAUUUUCGAGGGGCAGUACAGCAACAUUUUAAAUACAUUUUAUUGACAAAAAGUAUUCAAUUAAUUUCAAAAAGUGAUUCUGAGAGACAAUGACCAAACUAUUGCAAAAAGAAUGCCCACAUCUAAGUCACUACAAACCAAAGUAUAUAGCACCAAACAUAUACGUCCAAGUUGCACAUAUAAAAUAUUGGAGGAUAUUAUAGCAAUUCUGGUAUUAAUAUCAUAUUUUCAGUAGAAUAAGUAUUUUUUGGAGAAUACACACCAAUACAACACUGUGUGUACAUUUAGAGGGUAGCUGGUUUUUGUAUUAUUAUUUUAUCAAGUAUUCAUAGCACUGACAUACUUUUAUCAGCUGUUUUGACAACUACUAAGCAUGUAUGUGGUCUUACCUAGUUAUAACCAUUUAUAACCAUAGGCCCUAAAAUAACUACAAUUUCGGGGAAUACACACCAAUACAUCUCUCUAUGUGGAUUCAGAGCCUAUCUGAGUUCUGUAUUUCAGUUCUAUCAAGUAUUGAUAACCUUACCAGACCUUGUAUACCUUUGGCAAAUUUUAUGUAUAAAAAAAUACGGUUAUUUUGGUUUUGUAUACAGUCAUAUGAUGCGUGGUAUAGAAAAGUUACAUCUUAGAGUACAUGGGGAGCUCUGCAGAUGAUCUGUCUAUCUGGUCGAAAUCACUGAUACAGGUCCCCCUCCACCCUCUGGUGGUGUGGUUACCAGGUCCCCCUCCACCCUCUGGUGGUGUGGUUAACAGGUCCCCCUCCACCCUCUGGUGGUGUGGUUAACAGGUCCCCCUCCACCCUCUGGUGGUGUGGUUAACAGGUCCCCCUCCACCCCCUGGUGGUGUGGUUAACAGGUCCCCUUCCACCCUCUGGUGGUGUGGUUAACAGGUCCCCCUCCACCCUCUGGUGGUGUGGUUAACAAGUUCCCCUCCACCCUCUGGUGGUGUGGUUAACAGGUCCCCCUCCACCCUCUGGUGGGUAACUUGUUAUGUCUCCAGAGAAUCCUGGAUUCAAAUAAAGGUCCUAUUUAUCCAAUUAAUAUAGGCAGAAGUAUAUGAGGUCAAAAUUAUCCCAAAUUACUUACAUUUUUAAAUAGUCCAUAUUCAUAGAGAAACACUAAACAAUUAUUUAGAUUUGUUAAGAACAAGUUGAUUGACAAAGUCAUAAAACAUUUUAAAAAUUUAAUAAACAAACUUUGGGCUGUAAUAACAAAAAUAUGCCCCUGGGGUCAAAAUGUGUCACGUUCUGACCUUAGUUCUGUUAUUAUAUAUUUGUUUUAGUAUGGUCAGGGCGUGAGUUGGGUGGCUUGUCUAUGUUCGUUUUUCUAUAAUUUGGGAUUUCUGUGUUCGGCCUAGUAUGGUUCUCAAUCAGAGGCAGCUGUAAAUCGUUGUGUCUGAUUGAGAAUCAUACUUAGGUAGCCUGGGUUUCACUUUUGAGUUGUGGGUGUUUAUUUUCCGUGUUUGUGCCACACGGGACUGGUUUGUUUGUUUCACGUUGUUUGUUUUGUAUUUUGUAGUGUUCAGUUUUCUUAUUAAAUUAUGGACACUUGCCACCCUUCAAAUUGGUCCGAUCUAUCUUACUCCUCAUCAGAGGAAGACGACGAACAUUACAGAAACACCCAACACAAAAGGACCAAGCAGCGUGGUAACGGGCAGCAGCAGCAUCGAUCGCAGGACUCCUAGACUUGGGAGGAGAUUCUGGACGGCAAGGGACCAUGGGCACAAGCUGGAGAAUAUCGCCGCCCCAAGGUUGAGCUGGAGGCAGCGAAAGCCGAGAGGCGGUGGUAUGAGGAGGCAGCACGGCGGCGCGGCUGGAAGCCCGAGAGGCAGCCCCAAACAUUUCUUGGGGGGGAAGCACACGGGGAGUGUGGCGAAGGCAGGUAGGAGACCUGAGCCAACUUCCCGUGCUUACCGGAGAGAGAGAGGGACCGGGCAGGCACCGUGUUAUUCCGUGAGGCGCACGGUGCCCCCGGUGCAUGUGCAUAGCCCGGUGCCGGUACAUCCCAGUGCCUCGUAUCAGCCGGGCUAGAGUGGGCAUCGAGCCGGUCCGCACCUUCACGGUCCGGUCUGUCCGGUGUCACCUCCACGUACCAGCCCUCCGGUGGCAGCCCCCCGCACCAGGCUGUCUCUCUGUCUUCUCCCUACAGGUGCUCCCGCCUGUCCAGCGCUGCCAGAGCCUUCCUCCACUCCAGCGCUGCCAGAGUCUCCCAUCUGUCCUGAGCUGCCAGAGUCUCCCGUCUGUCCUGAGCCGCCAGAGUCUCCCGUCUGUCCUGAGCCGCCAGAGUCUCCCGUCUGUCCUGAGCCGCCAGAGUCUCCCGUCUGUCCUGAGCCGCCAGAGUCUCCCGUCUGUCCUGAGCCACCAGAGUCUCCCGUCUGUCCUGAGCCACCAGAGUCUCCCGUCUGUCCUGAGCCACCAGAGUCUCCCAUCUGUCCUGAGCCACCAGAGCCAACAGAGCCGCCAGUCUGUCCUGAGCCGCCAGAGCCACCAGUCUGUCCUUAGCCACCAGAGCCACCAGUCUGUCCUGAGCCGCCAGUCAGCCAGGAGCUGCCAGAGCCGUCAGUCAGCCAGGGGCUGCCAGAGCCGUCAGUCAGCCAGGAGCUGCCAGAGCCGCCUGUCACUUCGGCGAUGCCAGAAUCGCCCUUCACUCCAGCGCUGCCGGAGUCUCCCGCCUGCCCGGCGCUGCCGGAGUCUCCCGCUGCCGGAGUCCUGUCCGUUCGGGACACGUUGCGAGGGUCCCCAGUCCGAGGUCGGCGGCGAGGGUCGCCGCUCAUAAGAGGCCAAGGGGGGGUUGAGGAAGCGGACAAAAACUAUGGUGAAGUGGGGUCCACGUCCCGCGCCAGAGCCGCCAGUCUGUCCUGAGCUGCCAGAGCCACCACCCAGACCCUCCCCUAUAGGUUCAGGUUUUGCGGCCAGAGUCCGCACCUUAGGGGGGUACUGUCACGUUCUGACCUUAGUUCCUUUGUUUUGUCUUUGUUUUAGUAUGGUCAGGGCCUGAGUUGGGGGGGCAGUCUAUGUUUGUUUUUCUAUGUUGGUUUUUGUGUUCGGCCUAGUAUGGUUCUCAAUCAGAGGCAGGUGUCGUUAGUUGUCUCUGAUUGAGAAUAUACUUAGGUAGCCUUUUUCCACCUGGGUUUCGUGGGUGUUUAUUUCCUGUUUAGUGUUUGUCAUUCACCUUACGGGACUGUUCUUUUGUUGCUUAUUGUUUUUGUUCAGUGUUCAUUUUGCUUCAUUAAAUUAUGGACACUUACCACGCUGCGUUUUGGACCUCCGAUCCUUCUUGCUUCUCCUCCUCAGAAAAGGAGGACGAGGUUCCUUACAAAAUGGCCCCAGGUGGUAGCUUCUCAGACCGAUCUGGAGAGAGUGGAGUGCAACUUGACCAAAAAAAAGAACAUUAGAAAUUGUUGUCCACAGAACAAACAUACUAAUUUACCCAUGAUACAUUUCAAUUUAGAUUGAAUAUGAAAUACUGUAUUGGACAGCCUGGAAACAUUGUUAUUUAUUUCAGAUUUUAAAAAAAAUGUACAUCUGGGACAUAAAUCAACCAGAAAACAUAUCAGUAAUAACAUAUCCAACAACAAUUUCAUGGCAGGAAAUAAGAGUUUCCCUGCGAAACAGAAUUGAGCAAAGAGGACCUAAAAAUGCGUAUUAAACACAAUCCUUACAUUAUGCAUCUUGAGUACUUUCUGAAUUCUUUCUGAACUUUCUCAAUUUGGAUAGAAAUCUGUGUAAUUUCCCCCACACUUCAGAGAAAAUAUAUGUUAGCCGACAUAGUAAAAAAAGCCAUUUAAAAGCCAGAAGGACAAGAAAUUGAGCUAAUGUGUGAACAUCAACAAUCUUUGCUCACAGUGAUAUGAAUGUAUAAAAACUUGAGUCGAAUGACUAAUUCAUGUGUGCCCUUGGAAGGCAACACUGUAUGUUGGUUCAGCUAUAUGCCCGAAUGUUGAGAAAACACACAAAGCUAUUGCAGCCUUACAGCUGUAUGGUGAAUCAACAAACUCUGCUCAAAGUAAGCUGAAUUUGAACAAGCUUGUUGAGUAAAAUUACAAAUGUAUGUUUGCUCAAUACUACUCAAAACCAUUUCCCAGCAUGCUCUAUCGCAGGUUGAUUUUCAGAAUUGUUUGUUUCAAUACCUGUGUUUUUGCAUUGAUUGGUUGAUUAAUCUUAUAAUCUUAUGCUACAAAAACAUAAAUAACAUAAAUGUUUCUAAACUUAUCCAAGCUGUUAGUAGUCUUAAUAAUUCAUCUUCCAUACGGCUACCCUGGCCAUCAUUCUCAAUGCAGUUUGCGGGUAAAUAAAUGUUCCAAUUGUUGGAUAUCCUCACUCUGGCUGGAUUCUAAAACGGAUUAAACAAAAUUUUGCAAGCCAGAAUGUGACUUGCAGGCUUAAUACAGCCUAUAAACCAGGAGUUUCAGACCACUGUGUUAGGGUGUAACUAGGCCCUCAAAGAAAAGCCUUAUGAUAUAUGUAAUGUAUUGUCAUAAAGCGUUUAAUUUUACACUGGGAAAUAUGCAAACAAUUGUAUGUUGAAUCAACUGGAAUGCAAUUUUGUUGAGCAAACUCGCCAUCCUGUUGCAGCUGAAUAAACAUAAUUACAGUCUACUUCAUGGUCUAAUUAUUUUUCUCCAUCUCUCAUUUAUCUCUCUUUCCUUUCCCUCCCCUGCAUUCCUCUCACUUUACCCCUGCCUCUCCAACUUCUCA
ensembl:lncRNA